GUGCUCACUUCAGCAGCAUGUAUACUAAAAUUGGAUUGAUAAAGAGAAGAUUAGCGUGGCCCCUGCUCAAGGGUGACAUGCAAAUUCAUGAAGCAUUCCAUAUUUUU
rnacentral:snRNA from 1 species